GCGGGCGUAGUUCAGUGGUAGAACUCUUGCUUCCCAAGCAAGAUGUCGUGGGUUCGAGUCCCAUCGCCCGCUCCA
rnacentral:tRNA from 1 species